rnacentral:siRNA from 1 species
CCCUGUCGUUGUCUACGAUUUCAC